rnacentral:lncRNA from 1 species
CUUAGUGAUCUUCUGUCUGGUUGUUUUAUCUAUUAUUACAAGUUGAGAUAUUGGAGUCUGUAUUAUUGUGUAAUUGACUAUUUGUCCCAAUUAACAAAAUUAACAUACCUUUAACUAGACUGACUAAGAUAAAAAGAAAUAAGACCUAAGUUACUGAAAUCAGAAAUGAAAGUUGGGGCAUUACUUCCAAUUCCACAGAAAUAAAAAGGACUGUGAGAUACCUGGAAUAUCAGGAAUGAAGGAAGAGCAAUAGAAAUGGUAAACAUCUGGGUAAAUAUAGCAGAUAAUUUUUGUCUUCUUAAGUACUUAAAAUGUUUGGUUAAAAUACAAAAUUAUACACGUACUUUAAUGUAUGUAGAUGUAAUGUAUGUAGACUUUAAUGUAUGUAGAUGUAAUACAACUACAUCUACAACAAAAAGGGGGGAGGGUAAAGUGACCUAUAGGGUAAUAAGAGCUCUACAUUUCACCUGAAGAGGUAAAUAAACUGUGAAAAAGUAAUUAUGUAUAGUUUAAUUCCCAGUGUGUCCAGGAGAAACUAUACAAAGAGAUACAGUAAAAAAUAAGCACACACAAAAAGCCAACAGAUACAUUAGAGUUGAAUUUUAAAAUCAAAUAAUCUAAAAGAUGGCAAGGAAUAAGAAACAGGAAUUCAAAAAACUGAAACAUCAUUGAAAAGUAGAUUUAAAUUCAAACAUAUCUAUAAUUACAUUAAUGGUAAAUGACCUAAACACAUUAAUUAAAAGACAAAGUUUGGCAGAGCGGAUAAAAUAACACAAUCCACCUAUGUGCUACCUAUAAAAAAAGCUACUUUAGCGCCGGGUGCAGUGGCUCACGCCUGUAAUCCCAGCACUUUGGAAGGCCGAGGCAGGUGGAUCACUUGAGGUCAGGAGUUAGAGACUACCGUGGCCAACAUGGUGAAACCCCGUCUCUCCUUAAAAAAACAAAAAUUAGCCGGCUGUGGCGGCGCCGUGCCUGUAACCCCAGCUACUCGGAAGGCUGAAGCAGGAGAAUCACUUGAACUUGGGAGGCAGAGGUUGCAGUGAGCCGAGAUUAUGUCACUGCACUCCAGCAUAGGGGACAGAGCAAGAGUCCUUCUCAAAAGAAAAAAGAAAAAAAAAAAGGAGAAGAAAGAAAAAGAAAGAAAGAAAGAAAGGAAAAAAGAAACCUACUUUAUAUAUAAUGAUGUAGGUAGUUCAAAAGGAAAUUAUGGGAAAAAUAUAGCAUGCAAACACUCUUCAAAAGAAAGCUGGAGUGGCUAUAUUUAAUACCAACUCAACUAGACUUCAGAGUAAAGAACUUACCCAGGAUACAGAGAGACAUUAUGUAAUGAUAAAGGGGUCAAUUCACCAAGAAGAUAUAACAAUCCUAAAUGCC